UUUGGUAGUUUAGUUGAUUUAUUUGAAUUUCUAGCGAUUUAUACACAUAGAAAAGUAUUUAUAUGCCUUUUCUCUUAUUCUUUUCUAUUUUUGGGAACUACACUUUCCCUUCGUGAAAGUGUAUUCCGCUGAAACCAAUUUCACUUAAGUGUACCGAAGAGGUAUCUUCUAAUCUUGUCCAUCCAUCUCCCAUCCAACGGCCCAUUUCUUUUCUCUUUCUUUUCUCUUUUCUUUUCUCCCCUUUCUCCUUCUUCCUCACGAAGACAGCAGGCAGCAGCCCGUGCUCGUGCUUUCCUUCUGGCUGACCGCCAUGGCCGCCCGGCCUGGCCCUUGCCGCACCGCCUGGCCGCCUCUACAGCUCUCCCCUAGACGGCUCCUCCAUCCCCAGCCCGCGCUGACCCUGCCCCUGCCCGCGCAGUGCCACCGCCGAGCCCGAGCUCAAGCUCGAGGACGAGCAGGACUCCAUGGCUGCCUCCACCACG
rnacentral:lncRNA from 1 species